UACAGAGGGUGCAAGCGUUAAUCGGAAUUACUGGGCGUAAAGCGCGCGUAGGUGGUUUGUUAAGUUGGAUGUGAAAUCCCCGGGCUCAACCUGGGAACUGCAUUCAAAACUGACUGACUAGAGUAUGGUAGAGGGUGGUGGAAUUUCCUGUGUAGCGGUGAAAUGCGUAGAUAUAGGAGGAACAUCAGUGGCGAAGGCGCCUCUCUGGACUAAUACUGACACUGAAAAGCGAAGGCGUGGGGAUCAAACAGGAUUAGAAACCCGGGUAGU
rnacentral:rRNA from 1 species